rnacentral:lncRNA from 1 species
GACACGCGGCGCCUUCCAUUGGGCGAGAUCUGCCACACGCCCUCCCGCCGACCAAUGGAAAGCGGCUGACGCACGGAGGCAGUGCCCAGAAUGGGCGCGGUGUGAUGACGUCAUCACGGAGACAUAGGUUGCUAGGAGAGCAGCUGGUUGCCAGGACAACUGGCCCUUCCGCAGACGCGGGCUAGCGGGCUGGAGAGAAGGUCCACCCAGGGCAUGGAGUAGGUGGCCACUCGCUGUUGGCGUCCAGCUCAUGCCGAAUUUUGAAAAUCCAGGGUACAGAAGGACUGAUGGUAAAAAAACAGAGAGUAGGGACUGUUAUGUCAGCGCUUGUCACCAUUUAAAACGUCAGCAGUGUUACACAAAGACAGUGGAGGUGUGUCUGCAAGAGCCGCAGCUCAGGUCCAGAGGAAUCCUUAUGGCUCAAGGGGCAAUCAGUCCCCAUGAGAUGACGUUCCUUACUCGGCAGGGACACUGCCUUUAUUUUCAUCAUGGGAAGAUCACAAGAAGGUGGCACUACAUGCUGUGUCUCAUGUGCCCAGAAUUGAAGCUCAUCCUCCCCUUCAGCAUGCCACAGAACACCAGGAGUGAACUAGCAUGGGAACCACUGUUUCAGAUGAGCCUCCCAGGCCUCACCAACCACCAACCUCAGACUCAGGUGUGUGACCUUGCGCGUGAAGGCUGACAUGGGUUCAGCACAGCAAAGAUCAAACCUGCCUGCCUCGUUGUUUUUGGUGGGUAAAGCCAAGGCGACACAGGGCUGGUGAGCUGUCAGCCUAGUGACAGGACAGCACCAUAUGAGUGACUCCAAAAUCAGCACCGUGGUUGCCGCAGCACCUGGAGCACAAUGCAGUCAUCUUACCUUCUCCUAGAAUUUCAUAACCUAUCCACCUGCCUGCUUUGGAGACAUUAAUCUAUCUCAUUCCUUAUGUACUCUAAGGAGUGUGAGCAAAAACAAGAAAAGAGGAACCCUGGUACAGGAAUAACCUGUUGUCAACAUAUAUUGUUUUUUUCCCCUAAGAUUCACCAUAGCAGAACUAUCAACAAAACUAGCGCCAUGGCAGACCUAGGGUCAUGUCCCUAGAAACCCAGCUACUCGGGAGGCUGAGGCAAGAUGAUUACAUGUUUGGUCCCAGCCUGGACAACAUAGUAAGACUAUGUCUCCUAAAUAAAUAAAUAAAUAGGUUUCUACCUCAAUGGCAGAGUAAACAUGUGUUCAAAUUUCAGUAGCGGGGAUAGGGCAUGGUAAAAUGCUUUAGCACACUUCAGAAAGUAGCCUCCAGACUAUCAAAGUAAGCAGCUGCUGGGCUCUUGGUAUAAUUUCUUAGAAACAUUUUUAAAAGAAUUUUUAUGCCAUUUACUACAGGAAAUUCUAUUGCCAGGUAUGUUCUAUGACCUCACACUAUAGCAUAGCAACAAAACCCUGACCACUUCAGGUGUGUGUGGAGCUCUGUAAAACAAGGCAGUGACCACAGCCUCCCAUGUCCUGAGGAUCUCAGGCAGGAAUAGCCACCUGUACAAAGUCCUGACUGUCUUGGCCACUACUGGAGUCCUGGACAAUGAGAUGGUAAGCAAGCAGUUCUCCUGCACCCUCAUCAACUCAGAUGUGUGGAGCCCCCAACAAGGAUGAUGUGAACAGAGACCCCCAUGACCUGACCUUUUUAGCUAUUUGUGGAGGCAAUGAGGAGGUCAUGACCACCUCAGAAGUAUGGUGGCCCCUAAGAUAAGUAUCUGAUCAAGGGACCUAAUGUAACAGCGCAAGGAGCCACAUUCAGGUUGUGGCCACAAAAAUUUGAGUUUCAGAUCUGCAUGAGCAGAGAAGAGUCACAUAAAGAUUUUAAAAAGAUGGAAGUAAGUUUGUUAUAAAAGUAUAGCAGAUAUGAGCAUAGUCAAAUAAUAUAUUACCACACAACCAGGCAGGAGACAGAACCAAAGAUGAAGGGUCUUGCAUGAGACAGAGCCUUGUGCAGGCAGGAGAGAAAACACCACAGAAAACUCAGAUUCUGGAGUACUGUGUUCAGACAAAAGUGACUUGGUGCCACUAUGGUGCCACUAUCUCGCCAGCUUUGGCGAGACCCUGGGAAUGGUCAUUUUUUGGUGUGUGUUAACAGUUAUCUCUAUACACUCCUUUCUCCAGAGAUAGCCUUUCUACAGUAAGGGAUGCUGUUAUGGGAAAGGGGAACAGCUUGUUGCUAUAGAAAAGUACUACACCUCCCUGUUACAGCGAGUGUCACAGCUCUGAGGCACAGCCAAGUGUUACAGCUUGGUAUCAUGACCACUGCAAUUUGAAGACUCAAGAAUCCAACAGUCACUUGAAAAGGUGGAGAAAAACCUUUAUUAUACCAGCAGACUCAGAGGAGUUUCUACUCUGAUGUCUGAGCACCCUACCAGAAUGUGCGCCUCCUUAUAUAGGGAUCUACAGGGUAGGCAAGCAUGCUCAAGGAAGCAGAGGGGUGGAUGGAGUUACAGAACAUUCCUCAAACACAUGCUGGGUGAGCAUGCUCACUGAAGCAGGGGGAAGGGAGAAGAGUUACAGAGCAUUCCUAAUAGGGGCAGAGCUAACAGAAGAUUCCUGAGAGGGGCAGACCUAACAGAAAAUCCUCAGAGGGGCAGAGCUAACAGAAGAUUCCUAAGAGGGCACACAUUUCAAACAGAUACAAAACAUUUUGAUAUAUUGGGCAGGAGCACUGCCCAGCAGCACAAACUGUUAUACUUCUGGAAUGAAACAUUCUGUGGGGAAAAAAACAUGGCAGCAAGGUAAGGACCUGUCAUAUUGUACAGCAUCGCUCUAUUAUGCAAGCCAAGGUCUUCCAGGAAACCCUCAUUUCACAGACUCUCAUUGCUUUUAAUCCUUUUCCUGGCAUCUGACCAUCUCAGGUGUGUACAGAGCCCUCAGUAUGUGGAUGUGAGCUGGGCACCCCACAUCCUGACAACCUCGGGCAGGUGUGGAGCCCUAUA